rnacentral:rRNA from 1 species
UGGGGGCACCCUGAUCAGCCAUGCCGCGUGUGUGAAGAAGGCCCUCGGGUUGUAAAGCACUUUCAGCGAGGAAGAACGCCUAGCGGUUAAUACCCGCUAGGAAAGACAUCACUCGCAGAAGAAGCACCGGCUAACUCCGUGCCAGCAGCCGCGGUAAUACGGAGGGUGCAAGCGUUAAUCGGAAUUACUGGGCGUAAAGCGCGCGUAGGUGGCUUGAUAAGCCGGUUGUGAAAGCCCCGGGCUCAACCUGGGAACGGCAUCCGGAACUGUCAAGCUAGAGUGCAGGAGAGGAAGGUAGAAUUCCCGGUGUAGCGGUGAAAUGCGUAGAGAUCGGGAGGAAUACCAGUGGCGAAGGCGGCCUUCUGGACUGACACUGACACUGAGGUGCGAAAGCGUGGGUAGCAAACAGGAUUAGAUACCCUGGUAGUCCACGCCGUAAACGAUGUCGACCAGCCGUUGGGUGCCUAGCGCACUUUGUGGCGAAGUUAACGCGAUAAGUCGACCGCCUGGGGAGUACGGCCGCAAGGUUAAAACUCAAAUGAAUUGACGGGGGCCCGCACAAGCGGUGGAGCAUGUGGUUUAAUUCGAUGCAACGCGAAGAACCUUACCUACUCUUGACAUCCUGCGAAUUUGGUAGAGAUACCUUAGUGCCUUCGGGAACGCAGAGACAGGUGCUGCAUGGCUGUCGUCAGCUCGUGUUGUGAAAUGUUGGGGUUAAGUCCCGUAACGAGCGCAACCCUUGUCCUUAUUUGCCAGCGCGUAAUGGCGGGAACUCUAAGGAGACUGCCGGUGACAAACCGGAGGAAGGUUGGGGGACGACGUCAAGUCAUCAUGGCCCUUA